rnacentral:rRNA from 1 species
GAUGAACGCUAGCGGCAGGCCUAACACAUGCAAGUCGAGGGGUAGCAGGAUUAAGCUUGCUUAAUUGCUGACGACCGGCGCACGGGUGCGUAACGCGUAUGCAACCUACCUUAUACUGGGGUAUAGCCCGGAGAAAUUCGGAUUAAUCCCCCAUAGUACUAAUGAAUCGCACGGUUUAUUAGUUAAAGCAUUGCGGUAUAAGAUGGGCAUGCGUCCUAUUAGCUAGAUGGUGAGGUAACGGCUCACCAUGGCUACGAUAGGUAGGGGGCCUGAGAGGGUGGUCCCCCACACUGGUACUGAGACACGGACCAGACUCCUACGGGAGGCAGCAGUGAGGAAUAUUGGUCAAUGGGCGCAAGCCUGAACUAGCCAUGCCGCGUGCAGGAAGAAUGCCCUAUGGGUUGUAAACUGCUUUUAUUUGGGAAUAAACCUCUUUACGUGUAGAGAGCUGAAGGUACCAAAUGAAUAAGCACCGGCUAACUCCGUGCCAGCCGCCGCUGUAA